rnacentral:rRNA from 1 species
GAUGAACGCUGGCGGCGUGCCUAAUACAUGCAAGUCGAGCGAACAGACGAGGAGCUUGCUCCUCUGACGUUAGCGGCGGACGGGUGAGUAACACGUGGAUAACCUACCUAUAAUACUGGGAUAACUUCGGGAAACCGGAGCUAAUACCGGAUAAUAUAUUGAACCGCAUUGUUCAAUAGUGAAAGACGGUUUUGCUGUCACUUAUAGAUGUAUCCGCGCCGCAUUAGCUAGUUGGUAAGGUAACGGCUUACCAAGGCAACGAUGCGUAGCCGACAUGAGAGGGUGAUCGGCCACACUGGAACUGAGACACGGUCCAGACUCCUACGGGAGGCAGCAGUAGGGAAUAUUCCGCAAUGGGCGAAAGCCUGACGGAGCAACGCCGCGUGAGUGAUGAAGGUCUUCGGAUCGUAAAACUCUGUUAUUAGGGAAGAACAAAUGUGUAAGUAAAUAUGCACGUCUUGACGGUACCUAAUCAGAAAGCCACGGCUAACUACGUG